GCAACUUUCAGCUANGCAUCGCACUCGUAAUGCGGGGAUCGUGGGUUCAAUUCCCACAGGAGGCA
rnacentral:tRNA from 1 species